CAGCAAUGGUCAGCAUUCGCCUUCACCGAAUGAUACAGGGUCUCUUACCCCCCAAAUCGAAUGGCGCGAUGUAAUCCCAAGUCCGGCGCCACCUUUAGCCGUCGUGGAAACAAAAAGGACGACACGGUUGCAAUCUUCCCAACACGUUUCGUACCACACUCGACGCUCAACUGGACCAUGGAAUCGAGUUUGAACCGCAAUACAAUCCUGAGUUCAUCACUUGAUUCAUCAUCGAACUUCAGCGGGGAACAAUCAAAGGUAGCGCGUCGAACAAAGGUGACCUCCAAGAAUGCGGAAUGAAGGGGAGAGGUACUCAACGACGCCACGCACAACGGAUUCGGCGCCUUCUCUCGCCGUCAAUUCGUCCGUUAAUUCUCUCGGAUUUCUCGGCAUACCUCUUAAUUGCAACAACUAUCGAGAUUGAGGAGGAAGAAAAUCGCCACGGCGUCUACGCGAAAUCAAGAAUGAUCGUAUUGAAACGAGAAACCAAGCUCACCUAAUUUGACGAAAUGGCAGAUAAAGGCUACUGAUUGGGACGGGACGCUCGCGAACUUCUCUGUAAUGGAAGUAGUCGAUAGUUCCGAAUGAUUCGCAGUUGUGAAACUGCACUCCUGAAUGUGAACCUUGGUGGAAGGAUCGUGAAGCACAGAGUGCACGAAUGGUGAAGAAACCAAGUGGAAGAAUAGUGAAGAAACGAAAAGAAGAAAGGUGAAGAAUGAGAGGAUUGGAUGAAGAGUGAAGAGGAUUGAAGGGUGAUUAUGCAGUGAAGAGCUUUUUCUAUUUGAGUGAAAAUCAAUCAAUCCCCUCCUAAUUACAUUACCCAGAAGUUUGCGAGGUAGUUUCUUGCUUCAACUCCAAAGCGAAGCCAGUCUUCUUCACAAGGAUGGAAACAGUUAUUUGCCGCUGGUAGAAGCUUGUUGUCCUGGCUUGGGUGACGAUCGAGACACAACCUUAACAAAGCUGAACAAGCUUGCUCAAGAACUGAUGGUGGGAUUUCGACUAUACUUGGCGCACUAUAGCGGAAAUGGUUCGAAUACCGGCUAUGGUUUGGAUGAUUGGACCAUGUUGAUCCGAUUGCAAAUGAUUCAGCCAAGAAAUGAUUGGAUGAUUGUUACAUGUGGAUGGUUGCAGAUUUGAUUCGACCUGUGGUGGAGGCUUGGUUAUCCUGUAAAGCCGGUGUUGCAUUAUUUUGUCAAGAGCAAACUGAAUUUGGUAUGCACUGUAUCGUUGCGCAGCUCGUGAAAAGGUUCACCUCCGGUGGCCGAUUCGGUUUGAAGUUCAGGUCAGCAUCGCAUUGUCGCGCCACGGUUGAGCUGCUACAUAAUGGUUUGCUGCAGUUUGAUAUUGGCUUGCUGUACAGCCAGUUUUUACAUAUGCUUUACGUGAGAAAGCGCAUUGGCCGCUUGUUUACAGCCUUGGCCUAGGCUUGACAGGUUGUAGCAUUGUAUGGAACGGAACAGAUUAUUCACAGAACCUAUCGUCAAUAAUGGAGGAUGGCUUGAACUGUUGCUUCGGUUUGCAGCUGGUUUUUUUUGUUUGCGUUGCCGGCGAUUGCAACUCUUAGCUCUGCAGCUGGUGUGCGGUUUAUGACCGUGUGUUAGGGUUUGGUUUGUCAUGAGCAAGGGUUUGGAGUGUUACAAACUGGAUUUGCAAUUGGUCUACACAGGACGCGAUGCCAAGGUUAAUUGUCGGCGCAUUGCAGCUUGGAUCUUUUACAUUGCCAACAUAUUGCUGCUGCUGCAAGUUAUGAUGGUGUUAUCGGUUAGGAUUGUUAUUUGGAAGUUAAUGAAGUUGGUUGGUUCUCCUCUUUAUCCAGGUUGUUGUUUUAGUGAAGGUAAUAUUCUGGCCUUACCGUCAGGAUGCAUCAAAUGAAUGGCUUUGGUGGUUUUGGGAUUUAUGAUAUGAUUUGGUUGUAAAGUGAAGUUGCCCUGUUAUGGUUAAUUGCAACAAAAUAUUAUGGUUAGCAUGUGUUAAUGAUAGCAGUCAAGGAAAUUAGUUGAAAAACUUGUUUUGGUUAGGAGUUAGGUUUAAUGGUUUCAAAGAGUGUUAAUAUAUUGUUGUUUAUUUUGUUAGUGCAGAUCGAUGGUUACGCUGCAAGCUGGUGUAGCAGGGCAAAUGAUAGCAAGGCCGUUGAUAGUAUGGCAGCAAGAAAGAUGCUUGGAGUUUUGGAUGUUUGAAAGUCGUGGAGCAUUGGCGUAUGCUAAGGACAAGUUUCAAGUGGAUUUUUAUUGUUGUACUUAGAAUUCAAAGUGUUUUAUACUAGGAUUGUAAAGUAAAUGGUAGAAAUGAAUGUAUGAAUUUGUGUUAAUGUAUGGAAAUGACAAUGUAAUGGAUAUAUUGAGAAAUUGACUAGUUGUAAUGA